rnacentral:snRNA from 1 species
AGAAUGGCGUGAGCCCAGGAGACGGAGCUUGCAGUGAGCUGAGAUCACGCCACUGCACUCCAGCCUGGGCGACAGAG